rnacentral:lncRNA from 10 species
CUUUUCUCAGUUCCCACUCCUUGCGUCAGGACUCCCCUCAAAUGAUGAAUUUACAAAGGAACCUGUUAACAGAGUAAUAAACUCGGCCUCCCCACCCAGUGCCUGUCAGCACUCCCACCCAAGACCUCCAGUCUCCACAUGGCUCCUUUUCUCUUUUCCUCUCUUGUCUCUCUAUCACCCAGAGCCCUUUUCAUGUACGGCAAUAUCUCACAUGGGGACAUCCUCAAUUCCCAAAUGACCUCAGGGAAACCUGACAUUUGCCCCUGACACUAAAACUUACCAAAAAUGAAAAAAAAAAAAAAUAGAAUUUCUAUGCACAAGUCUCCUUGAAUUUGGAAGCCAAGGAAAUAUUUUCUGCUAUUGCUACAGAUAGACUGAAGAAAGUUCUACUUGGAAAAACCAGAGCUGUCUGAAGAAUGUAGGGGAGUGAUGGAUAACAAAUUUCCUUUUGGGAGGUGAGGGCUGAUGUAUAAAAUGCUACUGUAAAACCAAGCUUCCUGAUGGGAAUGGAAAUGAAAGGAUCCAGAACUAAUGGAGACCAGGUAGCAGCACUUGGUCAUCAGAAGCAAGCUCCGACACUAACUGAAAGCCGUCCUUCUCUGCCGAGGAACAAUAGAAACCAGAGCAAUCGAAAAGACAAAUAAGAAGCUCAUGGACAGAUCAAGAAUAGUUCUUCCAUUCCUGCAAGAAAUAUACAUCCCUCAUCUACAUUGGCUUAAGACUGUCUCAGGAGAAGACAAUGUCUCCACCUUGAUCACAAGCAAGAAAGGAUGUCAGUCAGAAAGGUUUGUUGGCAUUGUAGAGCAGUAAUCUUGAAAGCCUUCAAAUGUGUCAGGUACAGCCAUCCCAGAAGAUCUCUGACUUGGAGCACCAAGCUGUAGAUGGAUGGAGGGACCACCCUGAGUGCCAGCAGUGGAAGACACACAGGGAGAAGGGGGCUGCCACCAUUCCCACUGCAGCGCCAUGAUCAGAACAGGCAUAAGUGAAAGCCAAUGCAUGGCUCACACACAUUUUGGUGUUGGGCCAGAGGCCAGAAUUCAUCUUGUGUAUUUCAUGGGUAGGAAUAACUCAAAAUCAGUUCAUCAGCAUCAUUCUUGUAGCCAAACUUGUAUGAUUUCAUGAAAGAAAUAUCAUGCUAACUGGCAGGAGUGAUAUCUUCCCUAAGGUGACUCCAAAUUCAGAAGUCCUGAAGUUCCUUAGGGCAUUGUGUUGAUUCCUGGCAAAUGAGGGUCAGAUAAUGCACUGUGGGGAGAAAUAGGGAGCUGGUACCAUAGGGGCCCUCUACAGGGCUUGGGUCACCUCCUGGAAUAGCACUAAUAGUUGCAGACAGCUCCAGGAACCAAAGGGAGACUUACAGAAAGUUGAGGAGGCCACUGUUAAGCACGAGGCUCUGCUGUAUGGGACCCAGAGCAGGAGUCCCACUUGCCCAGAUGGAAGGGAAGCACUUUGAGGAACAUAAGGUAUGAGUAAUAAGCUCUGAAGAUUGCACACAAAGUGGAGAGAGAGACAUUGAAGAUGGCAUCAAAGUUGUGAUCCUGCAUACUGAAUGAUCUGUAAUGCCAUUGGUCAGGUGCUGCACUUGCCUUCUGAACAGUCCUGUAGGCCAUUUGUACCUCUGAGACCUUUCAACAAAAUGAAAGAAAAUAAAUAGGACCAUGCUAAAUUACUUGACCUCUCUGCAUCUCCAUUUUUAUCUGCAAAAUGGAAAGAAUAAGGUUUUACAUGUCUAUUAAGACCAUUGAGAUAAUAUUUGUAAAUCACUUAGAACAGCCCUGGCACAAAUGUGGUGAUUCCUCAAGGAUCUGGAACUAGAAAUACCAUUUGACCCAGCCAUCCCAUUACUGGGCAUAUACCCAAAGGAUUGUGAGUCAUGCUGCUAUAAAGACACAUGACACCUGUGUUUAUUGAAGCACUAUUCAUAAUAGCAAAGACUUGGAACCAACCCAAAUGUCCAACAAUGAUAGACUGGAUUAAGAAAAUGUGGCACAUAGGCCAGGCACGGUGGCUCACGCCUGUAAUCCCAGCACUUUGGGAGGCCGAGUGGGUGGAUCAUGAGG